CCCUUAGAUGUUCUGGGCCGCACGCGUGCUACACUGAUGCAUUCAACGAGUCUAAAACCUGGUCUGAUAGGGCUGGGUAAUCUUUUGAAAGUGCAUCGUGAUUGGGAUAGAUGAUUGCAAUUCUUCAUCUUCAACGAGGAAUGCCUAGUAAACGCAAGUCAUCAGCUUGCAUUGAUUACGUCCCUGCCCUUUGUACACACCGCCCGUCGCUCCUACCGAUUGAGUGCUCAGGUGAAUAAUUCGGACUGCAGCAAUGUUUGGAUCCCGAACGUUGCAGCGGAAAGUUUAGUGAACCUUAUCACUUAGAGGAAGGAGAAGUCGUAACA
rnacentral:rRNA from 1 species